UACGGAGGAUCCAAGCGUUAUCCGGAUUUAUUGGGUUUAAAGGGUGCGUAGGCGGUUUGAUAAGUUAGAGGUUAAAUGUCAGUGCUCAACACUGGCCUGCCUCUAAUACUGUUGAACUAGAGAGUAGAUGCGGUAGGCGGAAUGUAUGGUGUAGCGGUGAAAUGCGUAGAGAUCAUACAGAACACCGAUUGCGAAGGCAGCUUACCAAACUAUAUCUGACGUUGAGGCACGAAAGCGUGGGUAGCAAACAGG
rnacentral:misc_RNA from 1 species